rnacentral:rRNA from 1 species
UAGGGAAUCUUCGGCAAUGGGGGCAACCCUGACCGAGCAACGCCGCGUGAGUGAAGAAGGUUUUCGGAUCGUAAAGCUCUGUUGUAAGAGAAGAACGUGUGUGAGAGUGGAAAGUUCACACAGUGACGGUAACUUACCAGAAAGGGACGGCUAACUACGUGCCAGCGGCCGCGGUAAUACGUAGGUCCCGAGCGUUGUCCGGAUUUAUUGGGCGUAAAGCGAGCGCAGGCGGUUUAAUAAGUCUGAAGUUAAAGGCAGUGGCUUAACCAUUGUUCGCUUUGGAAACUGUUAAACUUGAGUGCAGAAGGGGAGAGUGGAAUUCCAUGUGUAGCGGUGAAAUGCGUAGAUAUAUGGAGGAACACCGGUGGCGAAAGCGGCUCUCUGGUCUGUAACUGACGCUGAGGCUCGAAAGCGUGGGGAGCAAACAGG